AUUGAACGCUGGCGGCAGGCCUAACACAUGCAAGUCGAGCGGGUGCAGCGAGCUUGCUCCUGGACGCGGCGGCGGCCGGGGGGGUCAUGCCUAGGAAUCUGCCUGGUCUUGGGGGAUGACGUCCGGAAACGGGCGCUAAUACCGCAUACGACGUGUGGGCGAAAGUGGGGGAGCUUGCGAUCUCUCGCCAUCAGAUGAGCCUAGGUGGCAUUAGCUAGUUCGUGGGGUAAAUGCCUACCAAGGCGACGAUCCGUAACUGGUCUGAGGGGAUGAUCAGUCACACUGGAACUGAGACACGGCCCAGACUCCUACGGGAGGCAGCAGUGGGGAAUAUUGGACGAUGGGCGAGAGCCUAAUCCAGCCAUGCCGCGUGUGUGAAGAAGGUCUUCGGAUUGUAAAGCACUUUAAGUUGGGAGGAAGGGCAGUAAGUUUAUACCGUGCUGUAUUGACGUUACCAACAGAAUAAGCACCGGCUAACUUCGUG
rnacentral:rRNA from 1 species